GUCUUGGUUGCCGAUGUAGCGCUUGUCGGCGAAGAUGGAUCCUCUUUAGCGUAAUUGCAUACAGCCGUGGUCCAUGCCUGGCGGUUAGUGUAGCCCUGGUUUUCACUACACUGACAGGGGAUAUCGUAUAUUUUGCUCUCUAAAAAUGAACUAUUGUGGUGUUGUUCACGUAUCAAUGUGCCAUGUUUUCUAUCUAAGAAUAUGCCACAUUUGCUAAAUAAACCAGCUCAUUAAAGUGAUGGACAACUAAAUACUUUUUAUAGAGCUAAAAUUAUAUAUAGGCAACCAAACAACCUUCCCUUUCAAAAAAAGCCAAGCAAACAUCUGGGUAACUUCUUGGCGCGGCGGAGCGCCCUUGCCCACUACUACAUAUUGUGAACCGUCAACUCAUACAAUUUUGAAGAAAACAUGAACUGGAUAUAUGAUGCAUUUUCUUCAAAGUAUGGUAUAUUUAGUUGGAAAGAAUGACAUUUUGUCAAGGAAGAAACUGCCUUAAAUCCCUUAUGAUAAGCAUGCGGUUGAUCUGGGUGCAACUCAUAUGCACCAGAAUACUUGGCUAUAGCAUGUUUUGUUAGAUCCAUUCUUAAGAAAAUGCAUUAUUCUUGAAAGGCGGCACGCUCACUGCAGCUUGACCACGUCAUCCCUGCCAAUGCCGAUUAGCUCAGCCUUGGUGGCGGCGGGCUCCUGGACUACCUCAAGCAGGCGCCUGCCGCGGCGGCCGACAUGUGAGGACACUAGCAACCUCGGAUACAAGUACCCGUGGUGGUUUCUCUGUUCUUAGGAGACAUGCUGAAGACUGUCUUCCUCGGACAGUUAGCAUUGCAAGCACUUUUUGACUCCACUUGAUGUCUACAAAAUUUCUGGCUUAUUGAAUGAUAUGGUUACUUGCAAGACAUGUCGCAGAAUCCACAUAGAACCGGGUGGCAUUUUCCUCACAUUUCAUGGUGAUUUUAAUUUGAGCAUUCAGCUUGAAUACCCUUUAAA